rnacentral:rRNA from 1 species
GCACGAGUCCCUUUACUGACGCUAAAGCUCGAAGGUGCGGGUAUCGAACAGGAUUAGAUACCCUGGUAGUCCGCACGGUAAACGAUGGAUGCCCGCUGUCGGCGAUACACUGUCGGCGGCCAAGCGAAAGCGUUAAGCAUCCCACCUGGGGAGUACGCCGGCAACGGUGAAACUCAAAGGAAUUGACGGGGGCCCGCACAAGCGGAGGAACAUGUGGUUUAAUUCGAUGAUACGCGAGGAACCUUACCCGGGCUUGAACUGCAGAGGAAGGAUUGAGAGAUCAUGACGCCCUUCGGGGCCUCUGUGGAGGUGCUGCAUGGUUGUCGUCAGCUCGUGCCGUGAGGUGUCGGCUUAAGUGCCAUAACGAGCGCAACCCCUGCUGUCAGUUGCCAUCAGGUCGAGCUGGGCACUCUGGCGGUACUGCCACCGUAAGGUGCGAGGAAGGUGGGGAUGACGUCAAAUCAGCACGGCCCUUACGUCCGGGGCUACACACGUGUUACAAUGGGCGGUACAGAGAGUCGGGGGUACGCAAGUGCCCUCCAAUCUUUAAAGCCGUCCUCAGUUCGGAUUGGGGUCUGCAACCCGACCCCAUGAAGCUGG